ACCAGAGAACACGGUGUCAAGGGCAGUGAAAGAGCAAAGUCCUGAGACUGGAGUGAGUGAGGGGAUUGGUGUGAGAGAAGGGAACAGAUUACAGGAGUGAGACCUGCAAGCUCCCAAGCACCUUUUGCUCUGUUUUUUGCUGUGAGGUGAAGAACUUCAAUGGUAAUAGCUCUGCCAGUGGGGGAAACAGGAGCUGUAGUGAGUGGAAGAGAAUCAAGGGAUCAUUUUAUUCUUCUAAAAGCCCGUUGUUCCAUGUACAGAAGGUGCAGUCAGUAUGACAAUACUUGGAGAUACUUUGGUAUAUUUUCUAAUAUUCAUAGUGGGAAAAAGUCAAACCAAUCCCCAUUCAUUCCUGGCAGGAUGGAAGUGCCUGUGGCAGCCAGUGCCAAGGACUGAGUAUGCAAAGAACAAAAUGCCACAAAAUGUUUAUCUAACCCUAUAGUCAUAAUGAGCUUAUCCAGUGCUCCAAGCCCUUCUAGGAAGGCAGGUACACAGAGCACACGGAACAGUGUAGUUGGCUGCACACACUGGGGGUGCUUUGUAACUCCAACAAAUGACCUUAGAGACUUAGUUAACCAAGAGCAUGAACAAUAACAGAGCGAAUGCUUACUUUUAAAAAACAGUGCAGCCAAAGUGUAAAAAUGGAUGCAGGAUUUUUAAAACUUCCUAGUAAGAGAAAACACUGUUUGAAGCCAUGGAAGCUGCAUAUCUACUGGCAUGGCAACUAAUGCAGUUUGUUUCUCCAGUAUUGCCCUGCAGUUUCUUUAGAGCUUCAUAUACAAAAUGCCAGUUUCCCUGGCCUGCAGAGGAUAAUUACAUGUGGAAUGCCAAGCACAGCUCCAAACUGGACAUGAUUAGAUGUCCAGCUUUUUCUCAUAGAAAUGCAGUAAAAUCCAUCCGUUCUAGUAAGAGUAUCUGCGAUACCUUGACGUAGAAUUUAACUUCACAAGCCUAAUCAGGAUUCACUUUAGCCAAAAAAAAAAAAAAAAGAAAUCUAAAGGGAGAAGAUACUCUUCCCAUCAGUUACAAGGAGGAUUUAAAUAUGUAGAGGAUGGUGUCAGGCCCAGCUUCCAGGCUGGUGUUAUCCUCCAAGCUGGUGCAGCUGGAGAUGUGAGUGAGCCAGAAAGGCCAGCAAGUCCUGGAUGGAAAUGGGUCUACAGCAAAGGCCAGGCUGCAAAUACAGUUUUGCAUUUUAGCCAAAUACCAGACAGAAAUUGUCACAGCUUAAAUGUUAUGUUUAGCAAAAUGUACUUAGGCCUUGGUUAUUCAUCGUAGCUCACCACAACUAGCUGCUUAGGAAGGCAUGACUCUUAAAAUGUGUUCCUAAUAGGUAAAAUUGUGAAUGUUCCUGUGUGUUAGUCAUGCAUACCGUGGAUCCUGUAAGUACCAUAUUUAACAAGAAAAAAGAUACAUCUACAUUUUCAAGAAGCUUCCACAAUUUCUAAAGAUAAUUGUUUUUAUUUGGCAUUUUUAGGCAUUUUCAAAUGUUUUUAAUGGAAUUAUGGGAUUUAUGCUAUUAGAUCACCCUAUUGGUCUAGACCAAAUGGUCUUUAGUCAUAGCUAAUAUUUGAGCUAGUCAGAAAUACUAAACAGAAAUGCCUUGUGCAAAAAGAAUCCUCAAAUUAUUCAAGGAAAUAUAUGAGUUCUGAUAAAAACUUUAAAACAACUGUAUUUCUCGUGUCCUAGAUAGUUUGUGUUUUGUUUUGUUUUUCCUGAGGAUUUUGAAAUAUAAGAUUAUGGAGGAGAAAGAAAAGAGAUCCUACAAUUAGUGAACUCAGAUGUGGAGGAAUGAGAUUCAAGCAUAAUUUAUGCAGACAGAGUUUUGACACAUAGGCAGGAAAAGAAAAUAUAAUUAUACAUUACAAAAAUUACUGGAUAAGAAAAUGAGUAAUUUGAUACAGAUUUACUGUGUAAAAUGUGAGGUGUAAUAUUUGUAGUGAAACAUUUAUAUAAAUUAAAGCUGUGUGUAUAUUUCUGUACCCAUGAUGAAGGUGACCUUGAUUUAAGUCAUCUAAAAAAGAACAUUUAAAUAUGUAAAUAAGAGAUGAACUAAGUUUAGAGAGGGUUAUCAAAAAUGUCUGUUAUCUUUGAACAUGAACAUAUGCUCACCAUGCUAAUUCUGUAGUCUCCUUAGAUCAAAUGCUGGUAUAUUUCAUUGGUUGGCAUUGCUUUAAAUUUUGACUUCAGAUUUCAUCCCCAGUUUUCCUUUUUUGUGUAUUUUUUUUUCUUUCAUCAAAGGCCAAAGAAGGGCCAUCUGAAGGGAGAAAUCUUACUGUAUUCCUCUAUUAGACUUCAAAUGUUGCAUCUUGCUGUUAAAUACAUAGGUGUCUCACAGUUGUUGAUGGCUAUAAGCAUUUGAAGACUAAUCAGUCAUUGUUUUAGGAGUUUUUAUUUCUCACAAAAGAAAACAAUGUGAUUCCACAGAUGGAAACAAAUUCGUCAGUUCCCAGUUGUACAAGAAACUUUACUGCAGGUUUCCUCCUCAUAGCUUACAGAGACAGGCUGCAUGAUACAACGAUAGGAUGAAGUUUGACUGCUGUUUUAUAAAUCUCAUUACCAUUUUUUUUCUUGAAGAUGAAGAGGAUACUGUGGUGAGUGGUUUAUGUUUUCAUUUCUUACACAAUCCACACAACAUUUUUCUACUAGUUUACCCACUUGCAUCUCUGUCUUCUGUGCCCCUCGAGAGCCCUUUCAUUAAGGUGCAAAUGACUUCCUAAAAUGAUGAAAGCACCAUUAUCACCCUUCUAUUCAUUUAGGUGCACAGGAAGGGAACUGGAAUGGCAUUUAGCUAAACUCCUCCUUUAAUAUAAAAAGAUAACAUUAACGAAAGAAUCUCUGCAGAUCAUUAGUCUGAUUAUUCUCUAAUGUAUACUCCCUUGAGUUUUGUUUGCCAGAACAGUGUGAGAUAAAUGGCAGGCACAUCUGUGAACAGACAUUAGAAGUUUUCAUUCAUUGCUCACCUCUCUCAGCUGAUCCAGCAGAUUAUUCACAUACAUUCUUAUCUUCAAACUGACAAAUAGCCCCUGUCUGUAUCCUGUAUGGCUGAAUCCCUACAGAACAGGACACUUAGGAGUAAAUUGUUUUGGAAGACUGCUGACUUGUAUUUGAUGAAUAAAAACCACAGGAGACCCUAAACAUUGUAGCGUGAAUCCCCAAAUUCUUUAUUUUCCACAGAGCAGGCAGCUGCUUUGUUUUGCAUUGUCCACACUGUGUUCCCACAUGGCUCCUGCUGGAAUGAUGUGAGCACAGUACACCGGAGUACCUGGUAAAAAGCCUGAAGUAAUGUUGUAAAAAGAUGUCACAAUAUUUCACUCGAGAAAAACUGUUCUGAUUUUUUAUUCUUCUGAGUUGACAGUAUUUUGAAUUUUGGAAAAAAAAAAAUAAAAUAUUUGCUCUUUGAAUGGAAUUAGUUAUCCCUACAGGGAUUUUUGGUGUGUAAGUAUAUGCUACUUCACUAAGUAAAUUGUCCUGCUGGCAUAUCUGUAAUGUACUCCUUUGAAUUUAAAUUUGCCUAGCAUUAGCUACUAGCCGUUGCAUGAAAUUACAUUUUUUCCUGUUCUCUAUACCAACCGUAAAAAUGUACAUCAGUCUCUGAAAAUUUUACAAGAGCAGUUUGCAAGAUCAGCCAGGCUACUGGUCAUUACACCAAUGUUACAAAUCUUAAAGCUUUUACAAAUAGCUUUUGAUACCAGAGACAAAAGUAAUGGUUAUUGGGAGUUACUGGGAAGCUUGCCUUCAUAACAUGGACUCAAAGUACAAUCUUGUUACCAGCCCAUGUGCAAAUAAAAUAAAACAAAACAAGUAAGCUCCAACAUCUCCAAAUAAACUUAACUCUGAUAUUCUGUUGUCUUUGUGCUUUAGCACUAGAACUGGCAACGCCUCUCUAACACAGGGCUGGAUUUUUUGGUUGACUAACAGGCAGUUGUUCUUGAUUAAGGUUGCACUCUCAUCUUGGAUGCUAUAUGAAUUUACAGACAGAUAACAAAUAUUUGUGGAAAAUGGCUUGGCAUUUUUCCAUUACAGCUAAUAGGAUUAAAGAGGUGAUAAACUGCCCACUGGAGAUUUUGAUGCCUCUGAAUAAAGAAGACAACCUGCAAGCAAUACUUGCAAUUCAGCCAUUGCUUUUUUCAGUGGAACCUUGAGUGGAUGACAGUGCUGUUUCUUUUUCACCACCUGCAAUUUCCACUACUGUUUUUACAGACUGAUCCAAACAGUAUGUCAGAAGCUGGAGGAGACAAGGAGUCGGAAUCGAUGUCCACUUUUCAUAGAAAGGGAAGUUUGGCAAGUUAGCCCCUGACACUUGUUCAAAUGCUUGUUCUCAACCCGAGGAACAUGUAAGCUAAACACCUGUACGACCAUGGCUUCCACUGAGGUGUUCAGCCCCUGCAAACAGGUAGCUGGAGGUCACCCCUGCGCAGGGAACAGCACAGUACCUGGAAUCAAUGAGCAGCUGCCAAUGCCCGUGACCCUCUCCAGCUCCUAGCAAGGCAGAGACCAUCAGACUGUAUCAGAGCUCCAGCACCAGACAACAAAGGAAAUAAAAGAACACAAGUCAGGAAGAAUGAUGAGCAAAUAUAUUGAAUAGCUUGUCAAGAGAAAAGAAAAAACAAGCAAGCCUUGAGCUGGAAAAGAGAUAACUGAAGUUGGUACGAGACAGAAGACCAAAACCUGCAAGAUUCUGCUCCAGGUCCACUUUUCUAAGCUCAGAGAGGAACUUGUGGCAUAGGUGGCUGUCCAGCUGUGGGGUUCAGAUGUCAGAUUCCUGUGCCAACACAACUCUUCUCCAGCUGGGCUCUGGCUUUGUCCUUCCUCUGGCUCACCCACUGUUGGACAGGUGAUGGUAGAUGUCUAAGGACAGUCAGGAAUAACAAAUGCUGCAUUGAACACAUGAAAGUUCCUCUAAUGAGUCCCUAUUGUAAUUCCAUCAUCUGGAAAAAUGCAUGGAUUAAAUACUACUUGCCACAUAGAUUAAUAUUUUUUGGAGUAUUUAUUGGCAAGAAAAAUAGACUAGCAGGCUAGCUGAAUUUUAUUCAUAGCAUAUAAACUUGUUCUACAAUUGUAGUCACUAUUAAAAAGUCAACAAAAGGCUAUAGUAGUACUUGAGCUUCUCUAGCAAUAUCCUCUCUCGCAUUAGACAUGCCUUACUUUCCCUUUGUUGUCCAAGUAUUAUUUGUAUAGUGUUCCACUGUGCUUUGAAUAGUUCUACAGCUGCUUUCUCAGAUUAAUUAAGAAUAGAAUUACCUUUUAUUAAACAAAAGCUAUUACUUUGUUGCCUGAGAUUCUCUAUUUCAGAUGCGCUGGAGGAAAAAAAGUUCCCUGCUCCCUAAUUCCUGCAAAGCUCUCUAAGGAGGCCCUGUCACACAGAGCAGUUCAAGAAGGACUCUGGACACAACUGGCGGUGCUGAACAGCACAGACUGGCGGGUUACAUCAGUCUCUCAAGCAGGUUUUUCAGAAAUGCGCGCCAUCUCUUGGGAUCACUGUAUGGUGAGAGAUGUAGAGAUUUUUUUCCAAUGAAGAAGUCUACCAUCAAGAAACUGAAGAGUUCUUUGGACCCACAGGCUGCAGUAUUGCAGAUGAACCGUGGUCAAGGACAGGCACAUGAAGCCCUCAGGGCUAUGUGAGCAGAAGGCGACCAGACUCGCAGUGGAGGAACUUCUUCCAAAAUCUCAGGCGAAGUAUCACCAUUGGAGGACUGCAAAGUGUAAACAGCUGCAGGGGUCACUAUUGAGGGACAGGAACUGAAGGCUCUGGGCUGGGCAGACUUUUGGACCACAAAGAAAUACACAAUGAGGUAUUGGGUACUGAAUGUGUGGGUUUGAUGGUUAUCCUAGUAAUCCUGCUUUAAUACUUCUAAUAUGUAAAUUUGCCUUGAAAAAGGAACCUGUGUACAGAACAUUCCAUGACUUUGAAGCUCUCAGAUGCAUGGUAGACCCGCUUGAAUAAGCAGCUACAUUUCUUGGUGCUUAUCCAAGGCAAUGAAACUGUGAAACUUUUGAGGAUCACCUUUCACAUUGAAUCUGUUUUCUCCAGGAAAUAAAUUCUCACUUCAGCUUGGCCUGUGCUAUAUAAGUAUACAAAUCAAGAUGUUUUUUCUGAUUGAAAAGGCACACAGAGAUUGCUUGAGGCUAUUAAUACCAUUCUUGUGUGGAAUAAAGAGAGAGAACCAAGAGAGAGCUCUAAAGUGACAAUACACACACAAAGAGUGCCGUUUUUCCAACAUGGCACACCUUCAACACCAUUUGCUCAGAGAAACAGUGCUUUCUUUAUAUUUUAGUUACACUUACAAGGAUUCCUGCUACGGUGUAUAAAAGCAGGAUUCAGUACCUGUAUUAAGGCUACAAUAUUGAAAAUUAGCUGAUGAACUACACUAUCUGAAACAUCUGGAUGAAAACCACAAAAUAUUUUAAUUUCAAUUCACAAUUAAUGCUGAAAUGGAAGAGAAAUUCCAAACUAGCUUCUAACCUAGGACUUUUAUGCUCCUACCCUUAACAGCUUUGAAUCAGAAUUUACCUUCCAGUCGAGUCAGAUUCAGUUCCCCUAUAAAAGACAGAAGGCUUCUCAUUGAUUUAAAUGAGGGCUCAAUGAGGUGUCAAUGGAUCAUACAUUUGAAAUUAUUAUUUUAAAAUUUUGUUUCUUCUCUACAUUCUGUAAAGGUUAUUUCUCCAAUAUGAUAGAAAGAAUCAAGGGUCUUACAAGGCACUUCUCUUUUAGUGCAUUUUAAAUAAUCCUUUCCCAGUUGUUGGUAAAAAGAUCGUUAUCUCCUGGAGAUAAGAAUAGGAGAUAGUCCUGUCAUAUAGAUCAUUUUUGCUUGCUUGUCUGAAAUUCUUAUUACAAUGUCAGAUCCUCCACAGAGCAAAGAAAAUGACAGGAACAGCCUGGACAGCAUUCUCUAGUGCUUGCUAAGGUCCUUAGCCUUUAAAUAUUUCAGGCAGCAUCUCUGAUUCAGAAUGAAAAUGGACAAGUGAAAAUAUGGUCUGAGUUUUUCAGGAUGGGAGUUGCGGGAAGAGCCAGAGAUGAGAUUUAUAAGGGUAUGGAAUAGGUUUCUAGUGGAAAGUUAUGGCAAAUUAGCCUGAAUAUAGUACUCAAAUAUAUGGCACGAAGCAAUUCCAGAGAGUUAUGGCAAUAAGCAAAGUAGCCUACAGGUCUUUUUCAUCUGGACAGUUUGGGAAUGAGCCUGUGAUUGCUUUCUCUCACAUCCCAGUCUCUAGCUGGUAAGCAAGAAGGGAAAAAAGUCAAUAUUUGUUUUUAAAAGUGCUCCCAUUAUUUUGUUCUCUGGCCACUAGGUCAUCGAAUUCUCUGUGUACUCAUUACUGUAAAGCUGAGUUGCCCACUUACCCUAUAACGCUCUGGAAACAAUUUUGACUGUAGAAAAGAAAAACAACAGCAUCUUGGAGGUGGUGGCAGGAAAGCAGGGGGACAAAAACAGAAGGGGAAGACUGAAACUGUUCAUCUCAUCACUCCCAUUGCUGCCAUAAGAGCAUUCAGCUCAAGAGAAUAUUUUUCAGGCUGUGUACAAUCUGCUGCGUUUUUAAAUGUCUCAAGUGAUAGGGAGUAUUUUCUCACUACUUACUGGAAAGUUAGAGUGUGUCAGUUCAAACUAAUAAAUAGCUGGUUUGCCGGUGACAUUUACAAGUUGCCUGCUCCACUGAGCUCAGUGCGCAAGUUAACAGCUCACAUUCUAAAGUCAGUUCCUUAAUUAUCUUGUCUUCCCCCCAAAGAUUUGUCAGGAAGCCUUCUGACGAUAUCCCAGAUAGAUGUGCUGUACUAGUGAAGCACGGUUUUGACUUUGACAAGAUUUCUGGGUUAUUGAAGACGCUUUGCAUGGUAGGAGGAAGUUACUCGGCAGUCAUUUCAGUGCUUGUUCCUCCCACCCCCGCCAGAUUUUUCCUUAAAAUGCAUUUCCUUGAGGGUUAUUCUAGUUUUUCAUCAUUCAUUCAACAGAAAGGAAGAAGAAAAAUCUUCCCUCAAACAAUGUUCUGUAUUAUUGAACGCAGUUUGAGGAAAAGAUCUUGUAUGUAGGACAGGGUAGAAUAUAAAUCAACAUGGAAAGGACAAAAGGAAGUUUAACAGAGAGUAUGGAAUCCAGAAUAUUUUCAUAAUGAAAUUCUUGCUUCUUAAAUAGACCUAAGCUCUUUUCCCUUCUUCAACAAUUUUUCCACUGAAAAUUUUUUAUCAGCAGUCACAAGACAGGGAGAGACCAAAAGAUCCUAUUGUUGUACCGUUUCAUGUAUUUUUCUCUCUCCUUUGCGAAACAUUACAGAGGAUAAAUAGAUAUAAAAUUUAGGCUUGUGGAAUUAUACGUUCUGUAUAUGCAGAAAUUAAUUAUACUUCCUUCCAAGUAAAUUCUUACGAUCUCAUCAAAUUACUAUUUUAAAAAUCACGAUUAAAAAAAAACCUUUUCUCUUUGAGUCUCUCAAAUAUACAAAAUGUAAAUUAAUUAUCAGAAAACCGGCCUUAAUGAAUGCAUUAAAUCUGUUCCAUGGACGGUUAUACAGACACUGAAGAUUUCUAUUAUUCAUAUCUACCAUCACCUACUGUGGCAUAACAAUGAAAUCAUCAAGCCAUCUUAUUUCCUGCAACCUCAGCACAGGAAUUAGACAGAAAAUUUUUGAACAAAAAUAUACUGAUUGUGUUAAAAUAUUUUACUCCUGAGCAACUAAAGUAAAAAAAAAAAAUCCCACAAAAGCCUCAAUAUGUUAUUUGACAGAAUACUUGCUUACUGGAAAAAAAAAAAAGAAAUGCAGAAGGGGGCAUCUAUUUUUGCCCUGGUAAAUGUAUAGAGCAUCCAUAUAACCAAGCGGAAAAAUAUGUACUAGCACUAAUGAACAAUACAACCAAAGUGGCUGAAAAUACACUUUCCUAGAAGAUUUAAUACUUUGCUUUAAAGCUAGGAUGGUAUUUCAGAGACCUGUCAGUGCUUUCAUUAACUUAAAUGAUGGAAGACUGUACUCAUGUAAAAUUUGCAGUGUACAUUAAACGAUCAAGGGUAAGAGGAUUCUUAAAGCUAGAAUUAAGAUUCAAAAUGAUCCUGUUAAAUUGUAAAGAUGGUCAAGAUUCAAUGAGAUGACAUUCAAAGUGGACAAGUAGCGAUGUACUAUAUAGUAUCACAGAGAAGACCUGAACAUCAGUUGAGGUUAAUUGAAGUAUUCUGAGUCCUUUCUAAACACAAGAUGAUUGGACUAACUCUGCUCUUGAGACCUUUCCAAUUAUUCUGUGCUUACAUACACAGAUUAAACCGUACCUCGCAACCUAUAACCUAAGGAAAAAGAGUGAAUGCAAUCAUUCUAAGAUGAAACCAUCAGACAUUUCUAAGGGACAAUGACACUUGUGAUAUUGAGAGUAUAUAACCACACAUGUUUUUAAUCUAUAUUCCAGUAAGUAUCUAAAGAUGCAACUGAUGACAGAUCUACCCCAAAGACAAAAGAUUGCAACAUGUUUGUUUUUCUUGGAAGGUACUUAAAAUGAGUUUUAAAAACAAAUGGCAACAAAUGCCAAACAAAAUCCUGUAACCCAGUCUUUGCUUAAGACACUGUUCUGUGACAGUUUUUUUACCUCUGAAAGCUGUCACGGCACGUGUACAAAGAAACAAGGAAGGUAAACAGUGUAACUGACAUUAAUCAUACACUAUUCUCCACUUCAAAUGACCAAAAAAUUAUCUACAUUAUUCAGCAGGUUUGACACUUGCCAUGAUAGUCAAACAAGGCCUAUUCUUCUUUCUUUUUCACUAUUCAGCCUACAAAAUCUCUCUCAUUCCUGCGAAGGACAAGACACAAGAAUUAUUAUUGCAUCCACCCUUCUACAACGAUAAGCUCCACACAAUUCUCCCCAGCCAUUCUUUCCCACACUUCUGACACACAAUACGGGCUGAGAGAUUUAGAUGCUGAAUCCUCUAUAAUGCUGUUAACCACAGCAAGAAAAUAACUCUGCUGACAUAUUUUAAGGUAUUUGUAGUCACAGUUAAUAACGUCGGGCAGUCAGAACUAGAUUUAAAAAAAAUGCUUGAGCUAAGACUACAGGGUUGAUUUUUUAAAAAAUUAUUAUUAUUUUUCAAAAAUGUCUAAUUUGUGUAUUUAAUAGUGGCAUUGACUAAAGACGAGAAAGCCUGUACCCUCAGUGGUGGAAAUGAAAAUGGUAUCCAUCUUUAGAGGGAAGCAAAUUAAAGAACAUAAUUCCUAUGGGCUCUUAUAAAUGGAUAAGCAAAGUGAAUUUGGGACCAAAACUUUAAGCACAGAUCAGUUUUAGUAGUUGUCAUAUAAGCAAUGAGUGCUAAGGCAGAAGGCAUUCAAAGGUUCCAGAUAGCAUUUAGGUAUUUUGAUCCUAAUGAAAAACUAUGGGGCUGAUGACCUCACUGGCAUUCAUUUGGAAAUAUCCCAAGCUUUUGGUAGAUUGUUUUUUAAAAAAAAAACCUCUCCUGGGUGUCUCAGUGGUUUAUACAGUGGCUGUUUGGGCUGAGAAACUUCAUGGGCCUUUCACUAAAUGUGAAAUGAGUAUUCUUUGCUACUUUGGUUUUGCCCAGCUCUAACUUCAAAUGAGUGUCACGCUCUUGGUUUUAAAACUAAAAAAUUGGAAAGCACUUCUCAAGAAAAAUUCUGAAAAGAGAAUGCCAGGGAGUGACUCUGGCUAGAAUCACAGAUUUUUUGCCUGGAGAAAUAAAAUAAUAGGAUGCUACGGGGAAAGGUCAAAGAAUGAAUGAGUACAUUGCAAAGGAGAACUAAAGCAUAGGAUACAUUUGCAGCUGCCAUCUGAAAUACACUUGCUUUUGUUUUUGUUUUUUUUUUUUUUUUCUCCCCAGGAAAAGGCUAUAGUUUAACCAUAAAUUAAACUGCUAUCAUUUAUAUGCUUCUCGAAUCAAGAGAGGUCCAAUAAAUACUUAUGCUGUACAUACUGAUACUUUAUGUUGUGUGUGCUAUAUACAGUUCAUUAGCAGGGCACUCCCAGAUGCACUAGUAUACAAGGUGUUCAGUAUAUUACCGGAGAGCCUUCUGUGGGUCCUUCCUCGAAUUCUGUGUGUUAUUUAAAUGCCUGAUUCCAGUCUCUGGUGCAGCCUGGAGAGUGCUGCUGCUUCCAGCUGCUUCCAGGUUAAUGCUGACAGUUCAUGGAAGGAGUUUCUGCCCAGUUUGGAUGUGGAUGAAAAUUUUCUACAGACUGUGUGCUGAAAAUCCCUUAAAGAAGUAGAAUCCCUUAAAGAACUAGAAAUGCCUCUCCUGAGAAUUUCUUGCCUACAUUUAUUCUCUUUCCUCCUAUUUUAUUAUUUUUGCUUUUCUGUUGUCUCUCUACAGUCACAGAGCUGGGUGAUCUCCCACUCUGAGCAAAGGAUGCUACAUAUUGCACUGUCUCUAUUUCUGUGGCUCUCCAGUAACCAAAAAAUACACCUGAAGAAUGUCAUUGAAGCAUCUGUCUUUCCUAUAUGGAUCUCUGUAGAGCAGACCUCACCAUUAUACAAGGAUUUCUUCACAGCAAUAUUUGUGGGCAAAGCACAGUUUAGAAAGCAAAGCAGACAUUUUUAAACAAAAAUUCCGUAGUAUGUCUUGCAGAAAGAAAACCUCCCUCUCUCCAAAAACAGUCUGGGGAGUAAACUACUUCUUGGAAGCUUACCUGUGUUGGUCAAGUUUCUCCUGACAGGAGGUUGUUUCAUCUCAAAGUUGUUCUGAUAGAAAAUACGUCACUUGGCCUUGUUAAUGUGUCUGAUUAAGUCAGAAUCUGCAGAAAAAAAGUGAGUCCAAGAAGAAUUGUAAACAAUUAUUUUCACACCACCUACUGAAAAAAGAUCUGCUGUUGAACAAGAGAAAGCCACAGCGCAGGUGGGGUGUCAGAGUUGCUUACAGUUAGAAAAACCCCAUAGCCAUAAACUUCACAGCACAUAUACAGCGACAGCCUCUGCACAGGACACGAGGCGUAGAAAAUGAGGCUAUUUUCUGAAUACCAAUGACCCACAGCACUGGCAAUGAGGCUGCCCAUGCUUCACCUGAAGCAAUCAGAAUUGUUUUUGCUUUAAUGCAUGUUCAUUCACUAUGAAUUGUUUUCAAAGUCAUGUUCUUGAACCCGGUAAAUUCUGCCCACCAUUUCCACCUCUGUCCUAUGAAAGGAUGUGGAAAGACAUAGUGGCUAAAACUAACUCUGUUCUCAGCUCUGUCCAGCUGCACAUGUAGACUUGAUUUAACAGAUGCUAUGUUGGUAUUUGGCCCAUUGUUUGCAUGCUGUUUAUCUUCUUCCCCUUGGUCAACUGGAGCUUCAGUGUCUUACAUCCAGGUUUCUCCUUGUAGUAUAUGUUCAGCUGCUUCUACAUGGACCAUUUGGGACAUCAGGCCUUCAGAGAAAAGUGCUGCCUUUUCUUAAGCUACAUUCAAAUGAUGUAAAGUGAAAUAUUGGCUAAUAAAUUAAGAGUACAAUCGA